rnacentral:rRNA from 1 species
GACGAACGCUGGCGGCGUGCCUAACACAUGCAAGUCGAACGGGGUUAUUUCUUCGGAGAUAACUUAGUGGCGAACGGGUGAGUAACGCGUGAGAAACCUGCCUUUCAGUGGGGGACAACAGCUGGAAACGGUAGCUAAUACCGCAUAACGUCGCAAGACCAAAGAGGGGGACCUUCGGGCCUCUUGCCAUCGGAUGUGCCCAGAUGGGAUUAGCUAGUAGGUGGGGUAAAGGCUCACCUAGGCGACGAUCCCUAGCUGGUCUGAGAGGAUGACCAGCCACACUGGAACUGAGACACGGUCCAG